rnacentral:misc_RNA from 1 species
GCCGAAUAUAUAAUUUAUAUUUAUUAACUGAAAUUACUAGGGACGACAAUGGUUCGACUCGAUUGAUUUUUUAACAACAUUGCGACACACCCAUACAUUAAAGUAUGCAAAACUUAUUGGAGAAUGAAGAAAUAGGGCAAAUCUAGAUUUGUCCCAGGAUAACAUCUCCGCCAGAAACCUUGAAGUCAGAAGGUGCUUCUUCAACAUUCAGAACCUUAACAUUUCCAUCAACUACAUAUGCCGACCACCUAUGAGAUCGAAGUCCAAGCAAAGCAGCCGAGAGAUCAAUUGUUAAGUCUAAACUCUUGUGGAAGCUUCCAUCAAAAUCACCAUAAAACUCAAUAGCAUCUUUGGCUUGUAAUUUUUCUGCCCAACCGUUCAUAGUGUAUGGAUCAUUCACAGCAACACAGAUCACUGAGUCGAUUCCUUUGGCCUUGAACUUAUCAAUGUUAUUCUUGUAGCUAGGUACAUGUUGCAUUGAACACACUCCAGUGUAAGCACCAGGAAGUCCAAAGAUUACAACAUUUUUGCCCUUGAAGAUAUCUUUAAUAGGGGUAGUAGAGAAUUUUGAGGAGACACCUUCAUCCCAAGAUCGAGCCUUUUGUAGAGAAACAUUCGGUGCAGCAACAGUAACAUCACUUCCUACUGAAAUUGAAGCAUAGGAUCUCAGGCUUUGAGCCAUCAUUCUUGUUCUUUUUAAAAUUGCUGAGGCCAUGGCUAAAUCUCCUAAGCUUUUGG